CCCUUAGAUGUUCUGGGCCGCACACGCGCUACACUGAAGGAGGCAGCGUGUACUCCUGGAUCGAAAGAUUUGGGUAACCCGCGAAUCUCCUUCGUGCUAGGGAUUGAGGUUUGCAAUUAUCCUUCAUGAACGAGGAAUUCCCAGUAAGUGCAAGUCAUAAGCUUGCGCUGACUACGUCCCUGCCCUUUGUACACACCGCCCGUCGCUACUACCGAUUGAAUGAUUUAGUGAGGACUUCGGACUGGGACCGAUGCGGCUUUCGGGCUGCGUCGGUAUUCUGGAAAGAUGUCCAAACUGUAUCAUUUUGAGGAAGUAAAANUCGUAACA
rnacentral:rRNA from 1 species